GUUGAACGCUGGCGGCAUGCCUUACACAUGCAAGUCGAACGGCAGCACGGGAGCAAUCCUGGUGGCGAGUGGCGAACGGGUGAGUAAAGUAUCGGAACGUGCCCAGUCGUGGGGGAUAACGUAGCGAAAGUUACGCUAAUACCGCAUACGAUCUACGGAUGAAAGCGGGGGAUCGCAAGACCUCGCGCGAUCGGAGCGGCCGAUAUCAGAUUAGGUAGUUGGUGGGGUAAAGGCUCACCAAGCCGACGAUCUGUAGCUGGUCGGAGAGGACGACCAGCCACACUGGGACUGAGACACGGCCCAGACUCCUACGGGAGGCAGCAGUGGGGAAUUUUGGACAAUGGGCGAAAGCCUGAUCCAGCCAUGCCGCGUGCAGGAUGAAGGCCUUCGGGUUGUAAAUUGCUUUUGUACGGAACGAAAAGGUUUGGCCUAAUAAGCUGAGCUCAUGACGGUACCGUAAGAAUAAGCACCGGCUAACUACGUGCCAGCCGCCGCCGUAA
rnacentral:rRNA from 1 species